UAGCAAAAAUGGUCUCUAUCUUGAAGGAGCAGUUCUCAAGGAUGCAGACGGCUUGUCAUCUCCUCCUCAUGAAAGACUAUGUUAAUACCCUUAGAGUUAAUCUCCGGCGCUCUGGUUACAUGUCGAUCAUCUACUAGACGUCCUCAGCAAGCACCUCAACAAAUACCAUGACCUUCUGCUCUAUGACUGUCGCUGCCAGAUCUUGGAGGCCCUCGCCGCCAACAAAUUCGAGCAGAUGCUCAUGAAGAAAGAGUAUGAAUAUUCUAUGAACGUUCUCUCAUUUCAGAUCCAGACCUCUGAUAUUAUCCCAGCCUUUCCUUUCGUGGCAUUGUUCGAUCGUUUGUUGAAGAUUAUGUUAACUUUUUUGUCUUAUGGUGGUCAACUUGACUUCUAUGCUUUUGUUAAGAAGUACCUUGAUAAGCUUAUGGUGAAGGUGCCACUAAUGGCCUUAUUGGUGGGUGGCGUCAACGCCAGCACUCAAUAUUGGCUGCAAGGCAUUUUAUCGGAGGAUGCCAUGGAUUAUUCGAGAUUCGGGAAACAAAUUACCAAAUAUUUAGUUGGUCAGAUUAUCAUUGAUGUCGCGAGGUGCAACAAAGACCUAUCAAGCAGUGUUUGUAAGCAAUACCUUAAUGAAGUGGUGGGGAGGCGUCUAGUUGACAGAGUUGCAUAUGGAAAAUCUUGUGAAUUUGCUGUUGCCCUUCAUGUGUUUGAUGAAAUGUCAUAUUACGAUAUAACUAUUUGGAAUGAACUGCAGGAUGCUAAUGCCGAGUCUAACCAGCUCACACUUGUUGCUGCAUUAUCAACAUGUUCACAGUUGGGUGCAAUUGAAAUUGACAUGUACUCAAAGUGUGGAGAUCUGGAGAAUGCACUCUAUAUGUUCAGGUCUGUCAUAAAUAGAAAUAUCUUUGUUUGGAGCUCAAUGAUUGCAGGCCUUGCAAUGUAUGGAAGGGGAAAGGAAGUCUUAGAUUCAUUCAAAGAGAUACAUGAGGCCAAAGUCAAGCCCAAUCAUGUUACUUUCACCAACAUCCUUAGUGCCUGUAGCAAUGCCGAGCUUAUGGAAGAAUGCAGAAUGUCCUCUAUUCAAAUGCUUCCUUUAUAUGGAAGUGCACCAGAUAUUGAGCACUAUGGUUGCAGGGUUGACAUUCUUGAACGUGCAGGACGUUUAGAAGAAGCAAUGGAUCCGAGAUGUGAUUUACUUACUAAAUUUAAGGGCAGAGAUUUAAUAUUAGGAGAAUCAAAAGCUCUUGUUGAAAAACUCUUGUAGGUAUAUUCCGAAAUAUUCUCUUAUACCUUUGUAAUCCUACAAAUGGAAUGAGCAAAUAAUUAUUUAAUUAUUGUAUAAGAAAAUAAAUUUAAAUAGUGAAGCUGACCAUAUGCUAUGGUCAAUGUAAACACCAAGAGAUAUCACUAAAAUUAUUUUGCUUAUUUGCAAAUAAAUAUACCAUAUAGCUCAUGAUUUUCUCAUAUAUCUACAAAUUUAACAUACAUGUUUAAAUUAUCAUUAAGAAAGUUUAAAAUGUUAUUGAAGUAAUAUGCAAAAAUAUUUAAAGAUCAAAUGUUCAUCUAAUCAGGUAGAUGGAAUUCAAUGCACUACAUGUAAUAGAUGAAAAAUAUUUAAUUUGAUAUGCAGAUUUGAAUUUUAAUUGGAAAGAAAUAAAAUCUUUUUUAUAUAAUAAUAUAUAGAUAUAAAGAGUAUCUAUAUAUAUACUAUAUCUAUUAUAUAAAAUUGUGAAUUGCUUUCCAAAUAAAAUCUAAGACCUGGAACUAUAUAAUAGGAAAAAGGAAAAUCAUAAUCAAAAAAUUGUUAUAUUUCCCUCCCUUUUGUUUAUUCCCUUCUUACAUAACAUUUUGCAUUAACUAGCCAACAAGAACUAGUAGAAUAUGAGCAAAUUCUAAAAACAGAAAAUUAAAAAAAAAAUAUAGGGAUUGGAAGCAAACGGAGGUGGGGCAUUAAUAGUUCCGCUGCAUUUCUAUCCACAUCAAACCGGAUUAAUUAGAGAAAAAAGCAAAAAUAGGAAAACAAUGCGAACAUGGACGAAGAAGAGAGAAGAAGAAGGCGAAGAAGAGAAAAAUGUUGCAUGAUCGCGAGUGCGAAUGAGGACGAAGGAGCACAUUGGAGAGGAAUACAUCUCAUAGAAGAUGAGGAAGUGGGAUAACGCGAUUCCCCCAUUUGUUUCGGCAAAUAAUUGUAGGAUUUACCAAUUGCCGAGAUUUAAUGCGCAUGAAAAGCAGAGAUGCGGGAUUCAUAGAAUAUUCGUACUCUUUCUUCAUGAGCAUAUGUUCGAAUUUGUUGGCCAUGAGGGCCUCCAAGAUCUGGCGGCGGCAGUCAUAAAGCAGAAGGUCGUGGUAUUUAUUGAGAUGCUUGCUGAGGACGUCUAGUAGAGGAUCAACAUGUAACCAGAGCGCUGAAGAUUAACUCUAAGGGUACUAACAUAGUCUUUGAUGAGGAGGAGAUGACAAGCCGUCUGCAUCCUGGAGAACUGGUCCUUCAAAAUAGAGACUAUUUUUGCUACAGCGGUCUCUCAUAGCGCAUCGACUUCCAUGUGGGUGACGAGUCCUCAGACGGUGCGGAGCACGCGUUCUUCAACGAUGAAGAACCCUGCGAUUUGGACAAAGAAGGUCUGAUGUGAUUCCAGGAAAGGCGUCAUGGAGGAGACCUGGAAGUUUGAGGUGAGCUGGAAUUUGCGAUUCUUAAAGUAUUACUGACGGAAGCGGUCUGUGAGACCAAGGGGGUGUAGAUGUGGUAAGCGCGGUAGAGCUGGGUAAGUUCAAAGGCGCCAAGACCGGAGAGAGGGUCGUCAGCAUCAUCUUCCUCGUCUAGGGAGUAGACACCAUCGCGGAGACUAAGCCGAGACUGCUCUUCUGCCUGGCAUUGCUUGACGCGAAGUUCUUCUUCUCGCUGGCGAGCGGCAGAAACCCUGCUGAUGUCCAUAUGGUCAAGGUUGCAAGAAGUUACUGAUGUAGUGUCGGGGCUGAAAUCGAGUUGGAAGGGCUUCAGAUCUUGGCUCUGGUUGUGAGAUGAAGCAGAAUUGUGGUUGCAGAUCUGGUAUGAUGCGGAACCGUCUUCGUUGGAUUUUGUCGGGUCAGGACGUGGAAGCUGGGUCGGAUAAUGGAAGGUGUCGAUCACCGGCGCAUAGAUGGCCUUGGGUUCUGAAGGCAGAAUGAUGGGUUAUGGGGGCGAUUGCGAGUGUGGUCGGGAUGAGUUGGGAGACAGAGGAUGUUGGAACGGAGGGGAGUCACGCCAUCGAAGCGAAAGUUCAAGCGGAGGGUAAUCGUUGGCGACUGCCGGCUGAUUAUGAAGCUGUUUGGGAUUGCGCAGAGUCGAUGAGAGGAGCGAAGGCGAAGAUGCCGGUAUGGUUGCCAACAAUAAUCGCAUUCUCCUUAUUGAUUAGAGGUUUUUGUCUACUCGAUCAAGUGGCUUGAGCUUAAUAGAAGGCUAUACAGCUUCGAUCGUCAUCAAUAGCCCACCUUCUUUGGUGUCGAUCUUCGUCGACCACCCUUUUUAUUCUUCGGCUUCGAUUGCCGUCGACAGCUGACCUUCUUCUGCAGUCCAUCGAUCUUCGCAAGCUCCAGACUCUGAUACCAAACUUAUGUAGUUGGAUCGUCGGAAGAAUCAGACCUGCAAGAAGGGUUUAAUCCCAAUCCAGGGAAGAAAAAAAACACAAGCUUAAAAGCUUCAAAAGGAGAAAUAUAUUUCAUCAAUGAUCUCUUCCUAAUACAAUAUUUUGCCUAUUCAUAGGCAAAUCAAGAAUAUUUUAGAAAGCAUAACUAACAAACUUAGAGAAGCUAAUCUUAAGGAAUGCUUUAAGCUAAAAAUGCUCUGCAUUAGAAUGGCUAAUUCAUUUGUAGUCAAUGAUAAAACACUAGUGAAAUCACUUUUAUUGGGUCAAACCUCCUAGUUUUUUCCCAUUUCAAGAUUUUCCAAAUAAAUUUUUGAUGUCUCUUAUGACUUGCACGCUUCACUUUUUAUCUAUGUUAAUACUAGAUCUUCAUUCAAUGCUAGGGCGGUAAGCUCUUAGUUUUUUUACUGCCGCGAAUGUUUUAGUCUGCAACAAUAAUUAUAAUACUUGACACUUGUGAUGGUGGUGGCGACAACUAUUUAUUUUAUUUUUAAUAUUUUACAAAAUAACUAAAAGUUAUAUAAAUUUUUUUAAAAUAAAUAAAUUUAUUUUUAAAUAAAAUUAAUUAAAAUGCACAUAUUUAUUUCCUUCCUUUCUCUGUCGUGCCCUCCGCAUCUCUUUUUACCUCUCUUCUUAAUUCCUUUCCAAAAAUUCUCCUGAAAAAAAAAAACUUUGCCUACUCACUCUCUCUCUUUCUCUUCGAUUGCUCUCUAUCCGUAUAUGUUUCUCUCUUCCCAUCUAAAAGAUAGAAAACUGAAAAAGAGCCCGAAGCGACAAUAUAUGAUAUGAAAUCUUAUUGCCCAUCCUCUCCAGUCUUUUUCCACUUUUUAAGUGAGUUAUUCUAAUAAUUUUUUAAGAUAUCUAAAUUAAGUUAUUAACUUAUUAUUAUUUAAAUGAUUGAAUUUAUUCUGAAAUUUGAGUGUUUCUUUUUAACUUGUAUAUUAGAGUUUUUUUUUGAAAUAUUUAGAUCAAUUAAGGUAAAUUUAAAUGCACAUUGUAUAGAUAAGAUUCAAAUAUAAGAUCUCUUAGUUAGUAGUCAAAUAUUUAAGCCAAUAGACAAAAGUGAGUUGAGUUAUUAGAGUUUGUUUUAAGGCAUACAUAUUAAAAUCUCUAUGAUGAAACACGUGCUAAUUAUAUAUUUAUAAAAAAAUAUUAUUUGCACAAAUUCACAUGACGGGUAUUUAUUUUGCUUCAACUUUUUAUUUUAAACACUCAUUUAAAAAAAUUCAAAUAGGCUCAAUUCUACUUUGAUUUAUAUUUUCUUGAACUUAAAUUCAUUUUGAUCUGAUUUUUUAGUUCUGAACUCUCUAUUUUAAAAGUCAAGUAGUUGUUUUUAAUCACAUUUAUUUUUUUAAUUUAAAUUUAAUUUUUUUUUAUUUUAAUUAUAUUUUGAUAAAUAUACUAUCAAAUAAAUACAAUUAAUGACGAAAUUGGAAACAAUUAAAAAUAGCUUAAUCAUCUCUUUAUAAAAAUAUGUGAUCCCACACAACACUUUCUCCCUUCCAUAACGUUCUCUCUCUCUCCCACAUUUCAUGUUCUUUUGAUUUCAUCCUCCACGCAUAUUUCUUCCUUCCCAAAACUUCUCUCUCUCUCACUCUACCUCAAGAUAACAUCUCACUCUCACUCUCGUCUUCAAAACCAACAGGCAAUAGAAGAGAAGCAGCCAUCUUAUCGCUGGCAGAUUCCUUGGCUAGAUAUGGUAUGAAAUGUUAUUAUUAAAUUAUGUUUUUAAAUAAUAUUUUAUAUCUGAAGAAGAUAAUAUAUGCAUUUUAUGUUUCUGUAGGCUGAUUUAAAUAUAAUGAUAGAUACAUAUUAGUAUUGAGAAGAAGAAAAAAAAAACUUCGGCAUAGUGACUGGCUUAUGACAAUGGAAGACAAAGAGGUUGUCAGGGGGGUUCGAUGGCGUUAGUGCUCUCGGGUGUCUCUAAUGGUUUACAUCCCAUAAGUGGUUACGGUUGUAGAGAAUAUUAGGUUGUGCAUCACUAGUGUGAUAAUUGAAAGGUUAUCGGAAGUACAUCGUGGGUUGCGGGCAUGGAGCUAGGAUAUCAUUAUUUGAUUUGACCAGAAAAUUAGACCCAAAAAUUUAUAGCUGGAUCAAAUCUUUUGGAAAACGGGUGGGUUCAUAUUUUAUAUUCUGACCAGAUUAUAAUUUUAGGUUGGGUUUGGAUCAACCCGCAAACCUGAAACAACCCUGAAACUGACAUCUUUCAUUGUCCAUCGCAAUCGCUCGCUCGUCCCCAUCCUCCAUCAUGCUCGCAUGGAGCUAGGAUAUUUAACCACAUAUAAAGUAACAUUAGAAUUUUGAAAAAUUAUUCAAUUUCAUAAUUAAACAUAGGAAAACAAUCAACAUAGAGAACAUCUAUUUGUAGAUAUUAAUUUUAGUUAAAAUUGGUUCAGAAUAAUCUAUUAGUUAGUCUAAUAAAUACUAAAAAAUAUUUGUAAAGACAAAUAAAAUUAUGAUAAAAAUAAUUAUUUGUAAAGACAAAAUCCAAAUUUUACCUUAACUUGUAAAACUUCUCCUAUUUAGCAUAAACUUUUUGAAGUGCGGUAAGAUGUUUACCUGGCUAGCAUGAUUCACAAUAAUUUUUGCCAUAAGCACAUCGAUUUGAAUGUAGUGGUUUAAGAAACCCAAUUCCAAGAAACCAAAAUAUAAAAAUAACAUAAUCAUGAUAUUCAAUACUUCAAUAACAAACCAUUAAAAAAAGUAGGGUGAAGAGGUCUGAAGAUGCCGAAGACAAGAAAGGAAUAAGAGUCAUAGAAGUCAAUUAAUCAAUAUAUCUAUUACAUUAAUUCAGUAAUUAAUAGAGUAUAUUUGACAUUAAUAAAAUAAUUAUAAUUAUAAUUGUUGUGGGCUAGAAUAUACAUGGCGAUAGAGUUAUAAUUAUAAGUCUUAGUGUUUCACGGAUAUCCAGCUCACACACAGAGAACACGAGAUUUUUUACGUCGAAAACCCUUGAAAGGGGAAAAUCCACGGGGCCUAGCCCAGUUGAAAAGAUUUCACUAGAACUUGAGUUGGUUAUAAUGGGCUUACUCGCCUCCAAAGGCGAUCAGAUUACAAGUUACAACUGUACAAUAAAACUCUGGGUGUCAGGUGAUGUUCCGGCAGAAGUUUGGGUUUCAGGUGGUGGUCUGGCAGAACUCCGGACCUUAGGUGAUGAUCCGGCGAAAGCAAGGGCCUCAGGUGGAGGUCCGGUGAAGACGAGGGCCUCAGGUAAUGGUCCGGCGAAUGUGAGAGCCUUCUGUAGUGGUUCAACAAAGGUGAGGGCCUUUGGCGGUGGUCCGGCUAAAGUGAGGGCCUCUGGUGGUGGUCCGGCGAAGGUGAGGGCCUCAGGCAGUAGUCCGGUGAAGGUGAGGGCCUCCGGGGGUGGUCCAGCGAAGGUGAGGACCUCCAGAGGUGGUCUGGCGAAGGUGAGGGCCUCCAGCAAUGGUCCAGCGAUUAAUAAUUUUUUUCAUCUUAAUUAUUAUAAAAUAAUUAAAAUAUUUAUAAUAUGAUUUUUUAUAUUUAAAUUGUUAACGCACAUUUAAUAUACAGACAUUUUUUACUAGUCUAAUUAAGUAUAUUUAUGAGUCAUUAAUUAUAUAUUAAAUCAUAUUAUCUUUUUUUUCUUCUCAAAUAGAAAUCCCGCCUCUCUGCUUUUCACGCGCAUUAAAACUCGGCACACGGUAAAUCCUGCCCUUAUUUGCUGAAACAAAUGGUGGAAUCGCAUCAUCCCGCCGCCUCGUCUUCUCUGAGACGUAUUCCUCUCCAAUGUGCUCCUUUGUUAUCGUCCGCACUCGCGAGCAUGUAACAUUUUUCUCUUCUUCGUCUUCUUCUUCUUCUUCUUUGUCCAUGUUCGCAUUGUCUUCCUAUUUUUGCUUUUUUCUCUAAUUAAUCCGGUUUGAUGUGGAUAGAAAUGCAGCGGAACUGUUAAUACCCCGCCUCCGUUUGUUUUCAAUCCCUAUAUUUUUUUCUAAAUUUUGUGUUUUUAGAAUUUGCUCAUAUUUUAUUAGUUUUUGUUGGCUAGUUAUGCAAAAAGUUCUGUAAGAAGUGAGGGAAUAAACAAAAAUGAAAUAUAACAAUUUUUUAUUAUGAUUUUCCUUUUCCCUAUUAUGUUGUUGCAGAUCUUAGAUUUUAUUUGAAAAGAAAUUCACAAUUUCAUAUAGUAGAUAUAGUAUAUAUAUAGAUACUUUUUAUGUCUAUAUAUUAUUAUAUAAAAAAUAUUUUAUUUCUUUCCAAAUAAAAUUCAAUUCCGCAAUAUGAAAUUAAAUAUUUUCCAUCUAUUACAUGUUGUAUAUUGAAUUCCAUCUACCUGAUUAGAUGAACAUUUGAUCUUUAAAUAUUUUUUCAUAUUACUUUAAAAAUAUUUUAAACUUUCUUAAUGAUAAUUUAAACAUGUAUGUUAAAUUUGUAGAUAUGUGAGAAAAUCAUGAACUAUAUGGUUUAUUUAUUUGCAAAUAAGCAAAAUAAUUUUAGUGAUAUCUCUUGGUGUUUACAUUAAUCAUAACAUAUGGUCAGCUUCACUCUUUAAAUUUAUUUACUUAUACAAUAAUUAAAUAAUUAUUUGCUCCUUCCAUUUGUAGGAUUACAAUGAUACAAGAGAAUCUUUCGGAAUAUACCUACAAGAGUUUUUCAACAAGAGCUUUUGAUUCUCCUAAUAUUAAAUCACUGCCCUUAAAUUUAAUAUGUAAAUCACAUCUCUUGAAAUUUGUAAACUAUUCAUAUACCAUAUUUUAUAAUUUAUCAAUAUUUUUGUUAUGUAUUAAUAAAAAAAUUAUGCUAAUAUCUAUCUAUAAUAAAAGUUGAAGAGAAGUUGUAAUUCAUAUUGUGAGGUAAAGAAGAUAUUCAUUUUAAUAUAUAUAACUAUAUAUUAUCUAUGAAAACAACUAAUUUUACUAUAUAUUUAAGAAUUAGAGAAGUCUUAAUUAAUUUGUUGUGCGAGAAAUAAAAAGACUACAUCGCAACAAAGAAUAUAAACCGCUAGACUUGUCCUCUCUUCAGUAAUACCUCUGAGAGUCUAACAUGCCUAAUGCCUUGUGCAUUCAGAAGCAUUCCCUAAGAUGUAAUCAUCCUCUAGGUAUUUUAGUCAUCUUUGUUGCGCCCAAUGGAUUGUCUUUAAAGGAAAAUACUGCUCUGAUUAUUAUUCUUGUCUUUGUAGAAAAAAAUGGGGAAGAUAGAGAGACUUCUUUCUGUAUUUUGAUAAUUUGUUGUCGAAGGUGCCAAAGAAUCCAAGGUUCUUCUUUCGGUUCUUUCCAAGGGUCCUUUUGUCAGCAAAACUAUGUUGUCCUACAUAAUAGUAGAAGAGGAUUGAUAGAUCUAACUUGGUGUUGAUAUAUACAAGUGAAAACAAUGGUUAGACAUCUAUCUAUCUUCCCUUUCUAUAACUUUUCUUCUUUUCUUAAGAGUUUCUCGAUGACAAAACAAUCACCUGAAGGAAUUUUUAGAAGAGAAUAUAGGUGUUGGCUAAUAUAGAGAAUACAAAAGAGUAAUCAUAAUGUCUAAAAUAAAUUCGGCAAAUGCUAAGAUUUACUAAAUUCGAGAUUUAAGACAAAAUAGAAGAGAAAAAAAUGUUAAGAUUCUGUAUGAUUUAAAAUUACCAUUUUCGUUAUUUGGCAUAAUUUUGGCUUCGUUUGAGACGGCUUUCUUGUUGGUUCUUAAAGUAGCUUUCUAGAAUAAAAUUUUUAAUUUUUUACUAAUUUUUUUUUUUACUAAAAAGUUGAUUUAAGAAGCAAAAAAAGGCUGUCCGAAACGAAAUUUUUGUUUAAAUGCUGCUUAAAGUCUGCUACCUAACAACCUCUUAAAAUUUAAUUAUAAGAUUUAUAGUGCUCCUUUUUCACAUUCAAAAUCAACACAAUGUAGAGUUUUAACACCUCGAAAAAAUUGGUAUUUUUAUUUCCCUUUUUUUAUUGCUAUUAUCUUCCUUGAAAUGUUAGAAAUGACAUUUUCUUUGCAUUGUAGAUUAAUUAUUUUUAAAUUAUUUAUGUAGGAAUUUAUAUUAAUCAUAUUUUUAUAUUUGAUGGUUGCGGUUAUUGCUGGAGCUUCCCCAGUUUAUAAUGUGAUUACAUACGGAGCAAGAGGAGAUGGCAAGACAGAUGACACUAAUAUAAAUUUUGUAAAUUGUUUCUUUAAAUUUAUGCAUUCUUCUUCUUCUUCUUAAAUUUCUUUUUUUAUUAACUUUUUUAAUAAAACAUGCAAAUAUUUUUCUAACAAAUUAGUUUGUUCUCAAUAAAGGCUUUUUUGAAUGCGUGGAAGGCUGCCUGUGCAGAUCCUAGAAAUCCAUAUUUUGUUGUGGCAGACAAAGGAGGAAAGAACUAUUUACUAAGCAAAAUAAUGUUUGAAGGGCCGUGUAGUUCCAGCUUGAAAUUUUUGAUAAGUGGAGGACUUGUGGCUCCAAACAGAUUGUGGACAAAUCAAAUCGAUACGUGGAUCGUAUUAAAAAACAUA